GUUAAAAAAUUUUAAUAUUAAUUAAUGUAUAAAAAUUUGAUUUGCCAAAUAUUAUCCUUGAAAAAUAACUAACACACAAACACAGCCAAAUAGAACGAAACCUCGUAGACAAUAAAAAAGCAGAAAUAUUAAGAUUAAAAGAAAAUGUGAAAUGAUUCAAGCAUGAAACGAGAAGAAAGUUUUUCGUUUUAAAAACCAUUUGUAAAAUUUGUUGCAUUUUCUUCGUUUUUCUUAUUUUCCCAUUUUUAAUUGAUUUUGAGAAUCAUCAUCGACUGAACGGAACAAGCUACGCCGCACAUUCGUUGAUCGUUAUGUUAUACUAUUGGAAAUAAGUGAACACAUUAAUUCAACAAAAUAUGUAAAUAUUUGAUAAAAUAGAAAAAAA